UAAAGGUAACCAAAGGAACAUCCAGACAUUACGAAGAACCGGCGGAACUCCAAGCAACGCCCGGAGAUAAACAAGUAUUGGCUUAUAUGGCAUAUAAACGUGAUUCGAGUGCAGAGGAAAAGACAUAUGAAGAUCUAGAGUGGACUGAUGACAACCCAGUUGCUUAUAUAAACGUUAAAACAAACAAAGAGAAUACUUAAAAUUACUAAUUAUAUGUAGCACCAAAUUAAGUAGACUAGACUGGUUAGUAAACGUAAAAAUACAAAGAUUAUGAUGGUCGUCGAUAAACUAUUGGACUCUAUGACGGAAAUGUAUUUUACAGAAGGAAACGAUACACAUAAUACUGUAGUUAUGUAGGCCUAGAUUUUAGCUCAGGUAGAUGGCGACUGAAACCAUUGUAUACAUACUUAUGCUUGCCUAAGAAACAUUUUUUUACUCAUAUGAACUUGACUGAGUAGUGAUUAUAGCACAGAUAAUUGUCAAUACUUAAAGACAUGAAUAUGAUGUAUAAAUAUAUGUUGUUUAAAAGAAAUCCGAAGAUGAUUAACGUUUGAAUAUAAAUAUUAUUAUUAUUAU